rnacentral:tRNA from 1 species
GCUGGAGUAUCCUAUAUAAGGUUUAACUUUGAAACAGUUAAGAAGAUUGUUUUUAUCCUGUGGCA